CGUACAAGGACGAGCAGAGUCCCGGCCUCAGGGAACUCACUGCCUCUAGCCGAGGACACAGCCGGGAAGGGGACGGCAGUCCCCUGUGACGAUGGCUAGAGCAGGGCCCCUCUCUCGUAGCUGGAUGGGUUCCCUAACCCUGAGUCCGGAGAGGUUAGUGCAGAGCUGGGUGCGCCCGUGGUGAUCACACAGGAGGCCAUUGGGCUGCAGGUGGGUCUGACUCCCCAGUGGCCCACUGGAGCGCACGCAGCCCUCAGCCUGCCCGUGGCUCAAGGUGAAGAAGUCAAAACUGAAGAACAGCCAGUCCCAGUUCCGGCUUUUCCGUGGGCUUUCCCGAAUGCUGCCACCGUGCAAGACACAGCUGUCCUUGCUUCGGGUCUGCCUCUCCCCGGGCUCCGGCUGGUGGUGGGAGCGGGCCUCACCCCCGUCCAGUCCAACCUGCCCGGCUGGAGUCACUUUUUACUCAAGCCCUGAAAGUGUUUCGUGUGCCUCAGUUUACCUUCCAGCUCCAGGCAUCGAGACAUUUGCUACCUUCCCUGCUUUCCUCCGGUACUGGGCAAGCGCCGGGGCCUUUCCCUGAAAGCUUUCUGUUUGUGCCCGCAGCCCAUCGCUCGGGGUCCGCUCUGCUUUUGAUGACCCUUGGCCCUUCCAGACGCAUCCCGUUGGGCUCUCGCCUGUGUCAGCCUCGUCUUCACACUCCCUGCCCACAGCCCUGCAGAGUUCUGCCGCUCCUUCACGCCUUGGCAGCUGCCAGUACUGGGGCUAGAACACUCUGGUCGUGCCCUCGUCUCUCUCCCCAGCUCCUGCUUUGAGGCCGAUGCCCUUCAUGGAACGUUUCCGGGGGCAGCUCCUCCGCACACUGUGACCGCGUCAGGCGCCCUGGGCUGCGCUCGGCCUCUGUGUGCCUGGCCGUCUGGGCUGUGAACUCCCCGCAGACGGUGAUGAUUAUUCAUUGACACCAUUUCCCUGCGCCCGCCCAGACCAGGCAAAGACAGACAGGUCUAACCUGUCCCCGGGCUGCUGGGUGGGGUCAGCCACACACACUCCCGGGUUUGCCAAAUUGAGUUGUGCGGCGGUCUGGCGGGGGGAGCGGGGGGCGUGCGCUCCUCCCCUCGGAGCCGGUGCGGGCAGCUGUGAAAGGGAAAAGGAGCCGUUUCCCGGUGCCUGUCCUUCCUAAUGCCAUCGGGAGCCACUCAGUGCCCAGGCUAGAAUCGCAUAAUCCCCUCCGUUCCUUCUUCACUUGCGGCCCGCCUCCCCGUCUCAUCAGUCACCAGCUCCUUCCUGUCAGGUCUACAGCCUGAUGUCCCCGAGCUGCCUGGCAUCUCACCAUUGUCCUUGCGGCUUCUCUAGCUCAGGCCUCAUUAGCGCUCCUCUGGAGUCAGUGGCUCCCGUCGGGUCUUGUUCCCCAGCUCUCCCGCCCUUCAUUCCUCCUCUCCCGUGUCCUCCCACUGCCACCAGGGCGGGCUUGCCCGAGCGGGUCUGGUCCUGUCCCCAUCCUCAGAGCAGCAGCCUGGGCGGCUCCGCCUCCCCUGCCAGACGGAGUCCGAAUCCCUUCGGUUCCUCCACGCUGCACCGGUCUCUCCCACGCACGCUGCUCUCGCCCACAGGAUCACAGUGUCCGGAGAUACUCACGCCACUGGCCUUGGCCUUGCUGUUUCUAAGCCCGCGUGGUUCUCCUGUUUUCAAGACCCGACUCAGGGGCCCCUUCUGCUAUCAGAGGCAGGACAACGAGCUCAUGGAGAGAGGAGAACUAAAAAGGGAAAAAAGAGAAAAAGAGGGUCACAGUUAUAAGAUUUCAGAGCAGGCCUGUCCAUCCAGCUGGUCUCAGACGCUGAGUUAUGACCCGGAGUCUCCAGCGUACAGCUCCCGCUGCAGCGAAGAUAAUGCAAGGGGGAGACCAGUAGGAUCGACCCCAAGUGGCUCCUUCUCUUUCCUAGAA